GCUGGUUUGCCCGAGAGGUCAAGGGGGAAGACUUAAGAUCUUCUGCACAUAAACGUAUGGUUCGAACUCCGUAGUCAGCA
rnacentral:tRNA from 1 species